GUAUCAUGACUGUCAGCUUAACGAAGAAGGCUGACCACCUGCCUCAACGUUGCCUUCAAGAAACGUGGGUUCUGCGAACAUUAUGACUCACUCCUUUGCAUACAGCAUAUUCACGUGAUUGGCAGUAACACGGUUAUGUUCAAGCUGUUCUAGACCACACUUUGCAUGAAUCUUAGUCAAAGAGCAACACACUUUGCCAGGUUGUGGCGUUCAAGGAUCCCGCUAUAACAUCUGACGUUUCGUACUUCCGCACGCCACCUUGAACGCAGCGUGAUUCUGCGAUGGCGGCUGCUCCACCUGGUCGGGCUGCUGGCUCCAGCGGGCAGCUCUUUCCCUGGGUUUUUCCACAAGGAAAAGUUACCUUGGAAAGCGAGAGUUCCAGAGUCUAAAGACCUGUGGCACCUCGUCUACUAAAACCUGGAGGCCUUUUAGUUAUGCAUUCUUGUUAAACCUUCAUUCAGAGACAACCCCAAGCUGAAGAGUUUGAACUCUAAACAUGUCCAAGGAUACGGACCAUGAAGAGUUCUUCGGACUACUACAAAUUGUCUAUCCGAAGAUGCAGAAGCUGACCGGAGGAUGGCUUAUGUACAAGGCUACAGGUGGAGAAAGCUUGCAUGGAUUCCGAGAUGGCAGCAGAGGAUUUUGAGGAGCAGAAGACCAUGGGAUGGCUGAGUCAACUGCCUGGACAAUGGAGAAGAGCAGAUCAAAAGGAGCAGAAGACCAUGGGAUGGCUGAGUCAACUGCCAUGAGCCUGGACAAUGGAGAAGAGCAGAUCAAAAGGUGCACGAUACUUUUCUGUGAGCCGCUCGUCUGAUGGUGAGGUCCAACACAACAGGCAGUCGGGUACACAACGAAGGUCGACGAUGGAGCUGAGGAUGAAAGUCAGAAGUUCUCCAGUCCUGUCUAGGCUGAAAUUUAGGAUGUUUCCGCUCCGGUCACUUUCUCUCUCGAACUCCACUACAACUCUACACCCCCUACGAUCUGUUCCAGGAUGACUCUCUCUGCCACCGCCUGCGACCCUCCUGCCGGGGGCAGCCCCAGGACCGCUGUCUCGAAGGUCUCCAAAAAAUCACUGCACGUCGUCAUUUUAUGGAGCGCCA